ACACCGUUGAAGUUAUUUUUGUUAAUAUUUCGGCGCGAACGCAUCGUUCAUUCUCGCGCGUUCAUGUACCUUCCCCCCGCGCUCGUCAGUACCGCGUGAGCCACCGGCGACGUCACAGGUGCCCGCGGUUAGCCAAGGUGAAUAAUGGCUGCUAAUGACGAGCUUAUUGCUAGGUGGUUAGAAGAAGUUCCGUCAGAUGAAGAGGACCUGGUAAAUGGAGUUUUUAGUGAUGUUGAAGAUGAUGUUGGUGACGGCCACGUCCUAGAAGAAAUCAGCGGCUCCGAUUCUGAAAUUGAAGAACAUUACAACACAAUAUUGUACUGGAAAAAGAAGGUGUAAAGCCAGAGUACAGAACGGCUAUAAACGCUUCUUCUACUCCACUUGAUAUCUGGAGUAAAUUUUUUACUGAUGAUAUUUUGAAUAAAAUUGUACAACACACCAACCAAAAGAUUCGCGAAAUAAGACCGAAAUACAAUAAGCAAACUAAUGUUCAAGAUAUAGAUUUGAUAGAACUAAAAGCAUUCAUUGGAUUACUUUUCUACACUGCCAUAUUCAAAGAAAAUAGGGAACAUUAUACAUCAUGGUAUAAGACGGAUGGUAGCGGCAGAGAAAUAUACAGGUGUAUCAUGAGUAAAAGUCGUUUUGAAGUUUUACUAAACACUAUACGCUUUGAUGAUGCUACUACAAGAGCGGCACGGCGAGAAACUG